ACCUUCGGGCCUCUUGCCAUCGGAUGUGCCCAGAUGGGAUUAGCUAGUAGGUGGGGUAAAGGCUCACCUAGGCGACGAUCCCUAGCUGGUCUGAGAGGAUGACCAGCCACACUGGAACUGAGACACGGUCCAGACUCCUACGGGAGGCAGCAGUGGGGAAUAUUGCACAAUGGGCGCAAGCCUGAUGCAGCCAUGCCGCGUGUAUGAAGAAGGCCUUCGGGUUGUAAAGUACUUUCAGCGGGGAGGAAGGGAGUAAAGUUAAUACCUUUGCUCAUUGACGUUACCCGCAGAAGAAGCACCGGCUAACUCCG
rnacentral:rRNA from 2 species